CAGUCUGAACCCGACGGCUUCUCUCACUUCCACCUGUAUGUCUGCGCUGCUUUUCUGGUGAGAUGGAGGAAGGAAAUUUUAGAAGAGCGGGAUUUCCAGGAGCUGCUGCUCUUCCUUCAGAACCUGCCCACAGCCCACUGGGGCAACGAAGACAUCAGCCUGCUGCUGGCUGAGGCCUACCGCCUGAAGUUUGCCUUCGCGGAUGCCCCCAAUCACUACAAGAAAUGAGCCGGGGCCAGCGCAGCUGGCCUCACCCCACCCCGGGGCGGCGCCCAUGGCUGCAGGCCAGUGGCCAAGGAGGGGCCUUGCUGGGCGACCCUGCCCUCCAGGGAGCGGGCCAGGACUGGGCGUCAGGUGAGGGCCAGGGCCUGGCUGGGGGCCGCCUCUGUUUCCUAAGAUACCAAAGAGAGCCGGGGGAGGGUCUUGGCCCUUCAGGGGGCCAGGAGCGGGUGGGCUUCUCCCUGCCCUGUCCCUGGAGCAUCCUUGCCAAAUGCCCGCCUCCUGGAGCCCCCAGGGCACAGCGGCCCGAGAGCCAGACCCUCUUGGAGGGGCCUGCUGUCUGGUGCCGGGACCAGGAGGAGGUGGUGGUCAUCUCAUACCUGCUUUGAAAUGCAAAAGCCCUAUUCUGUUGAGUGAAAGAGAAUAAAAUGUAGACAAAAUAAGAAGUGAA